GACGAACCGUGCGAACGUUGUUCGGAAUCACUGGGCUUAAAGGGCGCGUAGGCGGGCCCGCCAGUCAGGGGUGAAAUCCCACGGCUCAACCGUGGCAGUGCCUCUGAUACUGCGGGCCUCGAGGGAGGUAGGGGCGUGCGGAACUUCCGGUGGAGCGGUGAAAUUCGUAGAUAUUCGCAAGAACACCAGUGGCGAAGGCGGCUCACUGGCCCGGUACUGACGCUGAGGUGCGAAAGCGUGGGGAGCAAACAGG
rnacentral:rRNA from 1 species